AUCUUUGUGCUUGGGGAAAUGACGUAGCUAGUGAGGUAAAAUCGAGGCGCGUCAAUUGCUGGUUGAAAACUAUUUCCAACCCCCCUCGUUGGCCUGGGCUACGCUUUGGCCUUCAAGAAUUUUGAAUUCUCGCUGUUAUUCAAG
rnacentral:snRNA from 1 species